AGAGUGCAAACCAUCAGUUGGGAAUCACUCUUUAAAACUAAACAGCUUAAAAUGUCCUGGUCAUGGUGUUGAUUCUACAUUGUUUAUAGUAAAUGUGUUUAAAAUAAUUUAUUUUGAUCUUGUAAUGCAUGCAUGCCUCAUUUCGUAUAGUCACAAAGUAAAAGGCUGUGCCUAUUUCCCAUUUUCUUCCCUGUGACAUGAUAUGCACUACUAACAUUCGCACUGUUGGUUCAGCAUGUUGGCACAUGUUUGUUUUUUGCUGAGGUUUUGAGUGACAGCCAGCCAGCUUUCACCCCUCGGUAGGGAUGAGCCCCCUUCCAUGUUUACGCGGCAAAAAACAAAACUGUCCCGAUCGCUCGAGUGCGUCGUUUUCCGGCUUGCCUCCAACCCAUUGUUUUAAGCUGUGAAUGGCAGGGCAGUGACGGGGGGUUGAUUUGCUCAAGAAAGCCCCGUAAAGGGUUAAAGACAUUACUUUGAAUGACAAUGGGCCAACAGUUUACCCCCACAUUCGAACCCUUGUGUAUUCACCAUCUUUUCAAUGGCCCUCAGUUAUUUCACCGCCUCUUAAGCCUCUUCAACUACCUGCUUGGUAUUCUCACAGGGCAGCCUUUGAGUGUGUGUGUGUGUGUGUGUGUGUGUGUGUGUGUGUGUGUGUGUUUGUGUGUGUGUGUGUGUGUGUGUGUGACAGCACGCACGCGCAUGUUUCCUACUUUGCGUGCGAGUGUUUAGCAGCCACUAAAUGUGUUGUUAUGGGUGCAGGCAGCACAAAAGAAGGAUAGAAGGGAAAAAUGACACCCUUUUGAAAGAGCUGCAAUUGCAUGCCAAGUUCAAGAGAAAUGGAGAAAUAUAGAUUUCUCCACUGAGCAGAAAAAAAUGGAACAGAUAAAGACUGGGUGGGUUGACCUCAAUAAACAGACAACAGACGGGAUGGAACUUACUUUGUCUAAAAAUUAACACUAGUAUUAAGUGCUCGCCUAGGCCAGAACGUCAAGUAAUCGUCAAAAGGAAUGGAUUAGACCAUUGGGAAGUUAUUCAUUUGUCAUUCAAGAUGUUAUGUACCCAUCAGUUGAUGUUUGGUAUGGUUUAAAAAGGGUAUUGAUUGCUUCCAUCCUCAUUCUAAAUUUAACCAUGACAAUGAUGACAAGCUAAGUGAACAAAGAGAGAUAACCUUGGCUGUUUAUCACAGGACUAAACUUGGGUUUGAGGGUUUAACACGGCAAAACAUCAAAA